CGGAUGCCAACUGCGGCAUUCGAUAAAAAGGGAAUCAGGUGAAAAUCCUGGACAGACCCGCUGCUGUAAUUCCCCGUAUUCCUGAAGAAUCAUGCCACUGGCUCACGCCGGGAAGGCUCUCCGGGAAGGGAAAAGUCAGAAGACCUGCCAAGACAAC
rnacentral:ncRNA from 1 species